rnacentral:rRNA from 1 species
UACGGAGGGGGCUAGCGUUGUUCGGAAUUACUGGGCGUAAAGCGCACGUAGGCGGCUUUACAAGUCAGGGGUGAAAGCCCGGAGCUCAACUCCGGAAUUGCCUUUAAGACUGCAUCGCUUGAAUCAUGGAGAGGUGAGUGGAAUUCCGAGUGUAGAGGUGAAAUUCGUAGAUAUUCGGAAGAACACCAGUGGCGAAGGCGACUCACUGGACAUGUAUUGACGCUGAGGUGCGAAAGCGUGGGGAGCAAACAGG